UGCCAGCCGCCGCGGUAAUACGUACCGGACAAACGUUAUUCGGAAUCACUGGGCUUAAAGAGUGCGUAGGCGGUCUAACAGGUGGGGUGUGAAAGCCCACGGCUCAACCGUGGAAUUGCGCUCCAAACCGUUAGGCUUGAGGGAGACAGGGGUGAGCGGAACUGAUGGUGGAGCGGUGAAAUGCGUUGAUAUCAUCAGGAACACCGGUGGCGAAGGCGGCUCACUGGGUCUCUUCUGACGCUGAGGCACGAAAGCUAGGGUAGCGAACGGGAUUAGAUA
rnacentral:rRNA from 1 species